rnacentral:tRNA from 1 species
AAAGGAUUAUUUUGAUAGAAUAAAUUAUGUAAUUUAUUUACUCUCAUUA